ACGGGAAAACACAACCAAACAGGUGAAGGAAUUCAACAAAACCAUCAAGAAUCUAAAAAUGGAAAUAGGAACAAUAAUGAAGAACAGCCAUUUCAAUUGAUAUGUAUCCCCAAGAUUGCUGAAACACUGGAAUACCAAACAGCCAGCAUACACCAGCUGAUAUGAGGCCCCCAACACAUAUAUAGUAGAGAACUUCUGGGUCUGUGUUUAUUCAGAGAUGAUGCACCUAACUCUGAAGAGACUGGAAGCCUCAGAGGGUUUAGAGGUCAGGUGGGGUGGGAGUGGGGGCAUCUACGUGGAAACAGGGUGGGGUGGGAAGGAGGUGUGGGAUGUGGAGCAGUCGAAGGGUGAAUUGGGGGCAAGGAAUGGAAUAUGGAGUGUAAAAAAUAAAUUAAAAAUGAAGAAGCUAAUAAUAGAAAACAAAAUACAUGAAAAAUAUAUGGACUCAAAAACAAAGAAUUUUUCUAAUCUAAAGAAAAUGCGGGGACAAAAAGUAGAGCAGAGCCUGAAGGAAAGACCAUCCAGAGACUGCCCCACAUUGUGAUCCAUCCCAUGUACAGACACCAAACCCUGACACUAUUGCUGAUGACAAGAUGUCCUUGCUGACAGGAGCCUGGCAUUGCUGUUCUCUGAGAAUCUCUGCCAGUACCUGACUAAGACAGAGGCAGAUACUUACAGCUAACCAGUGAACUGAGCCUGGGGACCCUAAUGGAAGAGUUAGAGGAAGGACUGAAGGAAUGAAGGGGGUUGCAACCCCAUAGGUAGAACAACAGUAUCAACUAACUGGACCUCUGAGGGCUCCAAGGGAGUAAGCCACCAAUUAAAGAGCAUGCAUGGGUUGGUCCGUGGUCCCUGCUAUGUAUGUAGCAAAGGAGUGACUGCCUUGUCUGGCCUCAGUGGGAGAGUAUGCACUUGGUCUUGUGGAAACUUGAUGUCCCAGAGAAAGGGGAUGCUGGGGGGUAAGGUGGGAGUGGGUGAGGUGGGUGUGCAUGGGUAGUGGGGGAGUACCCUCUGAGAGGCAAAUGGGAGGGAGGGAAGAGAUGGGGGAUUGAUAGAAGGGACACCCAGGAAGGGGGACAUCAUUUGAAAUGUAAAUAAAAUAAUUAAUAAAAAUUAUUGAUAAAAAACAAAUGGAGACAACCCUGGAGAUAGAAAAUCUAGGAAAGAGAUCAGGAGUCAUAGGUGCAAACAUCAGCAACAGAAUACAAGAGAUAGAAGAGAGAAUCUCAGUUGCAGAAGACACCAUAGAAAAUAUUGACACAACAGUCAAAGAAAAUGCAAAAAGCACAAAGUUUCUAACACAAAAUAAUCAGAAAAUCCAGGACACAAUAAGAAGACAAAACCUAAGGAUUAUAGGUAUAGAAGAGCAAGGAGCUAUUAUAAAUAAGAAAUAAAUUCUAUUGGCUGAGAUUUCAUGUUCUCAAAGUAAAGUCUGAGUGUUUAGUUGGUUUGUGAUGGUAAACCAAAAUACCAUAUAUGAGAUGGUUUGAUCUAUGAACACACUUUUAUGGGUCAUAGUUUUGGAGGCUAACAGCCUAUUUGAAUGCCAACAUAUUCAAGAAAUAGUGAUGACUUCUUUCCUUAUCACAGAUGAGUAUUUUCUGACUUCUCCUCUUUCCCAAACUAGAGAGAACUACAUAUCUUUCCUCUCUCCUCAUGAGAAUACACUACCUCUCAUCCUAUCACAGCAUCCUAACUCCCUUGAAAUUGUCCAAUCUUAAUUGACUCAUCACUUUGGGGGAGGGGGAUGAUGCUUCAACAUAAUUGAUUUUGAAUUUUAGGGACAUGAAUAUUUAGCCUAUAACAAUGACAGGUUGUGUCAAGACAGACCUUUGUACACAUAUGUCUCAGCCUAUUUAGUUUUCAAGAUGAUUUUGUUCCCUUUUUUCCUAUUGCUUUUGUACAAUUAACAGAAUUAUUGGAAAGUCAUUAUAUGCUGUUAACUUUUUAAUAUAUUGGUGUCGUGGAUUAUCCUUUCUUGCUUUUUAUCUUAUGCUUUUUAUAUAGCAUCCUCCCUGGGUUUACUUCUUGUUUUGUUUUGGUAGUUUAAAAAUAAUUUCAUAUAUUAGAAGAAAUUUUUGGUAUAGGAGUUAGGGCACCUUAUCUGUGCUCAAUUCUUGGUUCCUAUGUGAACUUGGGCAUAUUCUUUUAACUUUGUAUAAAUUAAUGGUCCUGUCUUUAAAAUAAAUUAAUGCAGUAUUUUUAAAAGCAUUCAAUUUAUUGGAAAAUUGAUUUUUCUACCUUUUUCAUCUUUAUGUUUCUCUUAAUGAUAUAUUUGUCAAUAUCAGAACAAGAAAUUUAUAAAUAUGAUUCACUAAAUGAUAGAUGUUACCCCACAUUUUACUAUGCACUUUUGAUGGUAGUCUAUUAGAAUGCGGACCCUUCCUUUACAUCAUGAUCCAGACAACUCUGAGAAUUUUCCCACCUUUUCUUCUGUGAUCUAAAUUCAGCAGAUUGUCUUUCAAAUGGGUUCAUUUCACUUGCCAGCUCCAGUCAAUUUGUACACAACAGUAGUCUGUGUUCUGAACCAUUGUGGGGACUUUUUAUUUUUCUAAUAUGUACUUAGAAAUCUCAGAGUGAGCAUCUACUUCUGUAUGUGCCAGGCACUGGCAUAGCCUCACAAGAGACUGCUAUAUCAGAGUCCUGUCAACAAAAUCUUGCUGGCAUAUGCAAUAGUGUCUGGGUUUGGUGGUUGUUUAUGGGAUGGAUUCUCCCAGGUGGAACAGUCUCUGGAUGGUCCUUCCUUCUGUCUCAGCUGUCUCUUGUGAGGCUAUGCCAGUGCCUGGCAAAUACAGAAGUGGAUGCUUACAGUCAUCUAUUGGAUGGAACACAGGGCCCCCAAUGAAAGAGCUAGAGAAAAUACCCAAGGAGCUAAAGGAGUCUGCAACCCUAUAGGAGGAACAAAAAUAUGAACUAACCAGUAACCCCCAGAGCUUAAGUCUCUAGUUACAUAGGUAGCAGAGGAUGGCCUAGUAGGCCAUCAAUCAGAGGAGAGGCCCUUGGUCUUACAAAGAUUAUAUGCCCCAGUACAGGGGAAUGCCAGGGCCAGGAAUCGGGAGUGAGUGGGUAGGGGAACAGGGCAGGGGGAGGGUAUAGGGGACUUUUGGGAUAGCAUUUGAAAUGUAAAUGAAGAAAAUAUCUAAUAAAAAAAGAAAUCUCAGAGUGACCCAUAUGUUAUGGAUUUGUUAUUCCAGAUAUGGAUAGUGAGAUUUUCCAGUCAUCUUCUGCUACCCUUAUGAUUGACUCACUGGGGACUGUGGAACAGAUGUUGCCCUAUAAUCAGCAGGCCUUCUAAAACUACUUGGACAUCUUUGUUCUUAAUCAUCAGGACCAGCUGAGAGAAAGUGCACAAAUACUACAGAGCUGCUUCUUAUGAUCUAGGACAAGAAUGUAGUUAUAUAUGUAUUCCUAUGAAACGGUACAAUAUGACGUGAUGUGAUCAAUGAAGGUAUUUAGGCCAAGAAGAACUUGGAGACCCCAGGAAAAUUAAAUUAUCCACCAUUACUUUUGUGUAUCUUGCAUAGCAGAUAUUUUUAGCAAGAACUCUAUGUCAUUUCUAGUUCAUCUGAAAAAUCUUAUAAUGGGAGUGCUUAAAGGCUUAACCACUUUUCUAAUGCUUAUAUGACAAGAAGUGCCCCUUUAAAAUAUAUGUAUGGACAUUCUUAAACAUAAUAGACAGAAAUAUAUAAUCAGUUUUUAGUCUUGAGUAUUUGGGAUUCUUCACUCAUGAUUACUUCUAACAAUGAAUGACAAUCAAUAAACAGAAGCUGUUAAUGAGACUUUAAUGGAUGAAUAAAUAGCACCCUUUUAUUCCUCCUUUUAGUCCUGAACAAAAUGAUAGACAAUAUUAAGUUACAUGGAAAUGAAAUUAGCACCACAGUUUCAUAUUCCUAAUAAUAUAAUGUGGAGAAUAUGGCUGAGGUCUGUGCCUAAGAAAAUAAUAUAUGAACUUUUCAAGGAAAUAUUUCGAGAAUGGAAAACAGCUGAUCUGAACAUAACUAAUUUCUUCUGUAUAUAGUGUAUCUGAUAAUGAUGAAGGGGAGGAGCAAUGAGUGAUGAGAUUUUGAUUUGGUUUCUUCUUGAAGUUGACUUUGAGCGAAGAUUUGAGUGCAGAUGGUAGUUUGAGAGAUUCUGAGAAUUUGGGGAAUUAUUUUGUCUUGUUUGGGAGUUUUGGUAAUCUGGUAAUUUGGGAGAUGAUUUCAGCAGGAGCAUUCUGUUCUCCAACUUGUAGAUAAGAUGUAAGCUCUCAGUUACUGCCCUAACCCCAUGCCUCCCUGCCUGCUGCCAUUCUCAUUAUGAUGAUUGUGGAUUUACCCCAUUGAAAUUGUAAGCAAACCCUCAAUUAAAUGCAUUCUUUUAUAAAUUUCCCUGGUCAUGGUGUUUCUUCACAGAUAGAAAAGUAACUAAGACAGCCAUUAAUGACGUAGGGAAAUGAUGCAGGAAAGAAUGGAAUCUCACUCAAUGCACAGUAACUAAUGAGCAGGUUUCAGCUGUAGAUAACUAGCACUAAAACAUCAUGGGGACUCUAGUGAGGAGUACACCUUAGAUUUGGAAAACUGGAGUUGUUGGUUAUUCAUUAAUUCCUACCAGUUCUUAGUUAAGAUCCUCACCUAGGAAUAUCAACUCCUUGGCAAUGAUUGGGUCUAGCCUUCUGCCUAGGCUACACUUGAUUUUAGGUGACAGAUUUAAUCCUGCAGGCAGAAAUUAUAAGUGCUUACAGUAAAGAUAUGCCUUUGUCCCAGAAGUAAUAGUGAUUAUUGAGGGAUGCAAAUUGUAAAACAUUUCAUCUUUGACCCGAAAUAAAACCAGAAAUCACCCAUCAAAUUUUGUGAGAUUAACUAAGACUUUCCUUGUCGAACCCUUCUACAUUCUUUCCCAAAAGGAAUCCAAUACGACUCAGUGAACAAUUUAUUUCUUAUGUCAUAUAAAAGAAAUACAAAUAUAAUGUUUUCUUGUUUAUGUUUAUAAGUGGAAAGUGAUAGUCCAAGAGGAGGUCAGAACCACUAGUAAGAUCUUGACUUUUAGAAACCUUUAGAAAUCAUCUGUGCCUUUGAGUGAUGUCAUUGUGUUCCCCUGCCCCUUUUUGGUAAAGAAACUCACAGCCAUUAGGGUAUCUUGAAUCCAGGAUGCCCUAGUUAGUUUUGCUGUCUCAGGAAACAGAGUUAGAGUCUCUCUGAAAAGGGAAGUGUUCAUCUUUAAGAAAUGAAGAUCCAGGAACUUGGCUUAGUGUUGUGUGGCAGGCAGGUAGCUAUAAAAUGACUGUGAUUAGAAAAUUCAUAAAAUAGAAUGGAGCUGAAAGGCAUGGAUGAGUACUUGUGUGAAAAAAUAUGGCAACUCUGAAGCAGAGUGGAGAGAGCCAUCUGGUCUGGUGUCCAUUUUUCUAGCUCUUAGCACUUGGCUGAUUGGUGUUCAAGGGCUCAGUAGGAGGUGAGGGUGGAGAGCUCUCUCAGGAGGCAGAUUCUCUAAGAGAACUGAUUGAUUUCUAAUUAGUGAAUAGAAUUUGUCAAAGACAUAGAGAAAAUUUCCAUGGCUCUUUGUAAUUUCUUUAUUUUUAAGACUUGGGAGAAGAGAAAUGAUCUCAGUGGUGGCCCGGCUCUCAUUAAUGAUGCUUUUGCUCACCUGACUGAAGCUCUGUACAAAUAAAACAAACAGGAGGAUAGCAGUCAAGGCCCAUGUUCACGGUUGAUCUGGCUAAAAUUCUGUGGGGAAGACAUAUCAUUUCCAUUACGUUAUUUCUUCCUGGAUUCUUAUCUUUGCACUAGACCAAGAACAGGCUGCUGAUUUCUUUCAAUCAUUAAGGGAUGGCAAAAUUGUUCAAAUAAUAUCCUUAUUAGUAGUGAAUUUUAAAUAUUCCCUUUUCCAUGUGUAACUUUGUUUUUCCUUCUUUUUGCCUUGUUUGUUGUAAUUCUAGACAAUUUAAUUCUUCAGAUUUUCACAGAUCUAACAGUAUCCCUACUAUAAUUGGGGUGUGUAAAUAGUAGAAGCCUUUUUCUGCUCAGGUGCAAGAGAACAAAAUCAUAAAAAGGUCCUGUUCCUAAAAGGGAAAUGACGCUGUCUGGUUGCAAAUGUCUCUGAGAUGUAAUGAAAAGGUAGUUUCUGUUUACUGCUGCGGCUUUGAAUGAGCUGGUUUUGUUAGGGACUUGUUUUCUCUUUGUACAAGAACAGCACAAGAACAAAAAGCUGGCUUUGAGGAAAUGUCAAGGACAAGCACUGGAUGCAGCCAGAGUGAGACUCAGACUGUCCUCUUCCAGAUUCAUGCUCAGAGCUCUUUUUUGUUUCUGUGUUUGUUUGUUCUGGAUGAAGUUGAAGAAUGAUAUACACAAACUCCAUGGGGACUUUAGUGGAAAGCUCAACAGAACCUAGAGACUUUAACUCUGACAUCUCUCUUGUUACACGGACCUGUGACACUAAACAUGCUCGCCCAAUGGAAUAGCUUAAAGUACAUUAAGUGUUUGUGUGUUUCUAGGGGCUUCAUACUUUAAUUCACAUACAUUUUUUUCUUUGGAAUGGUUAGCUGGCUUUAUGAUGAAUACAUCUUCAGAGCCCAACUCUCUAAAGUCAGAUUGGUCUCUCAUUUGAAGAGUGACCUUUAACAUCUCCAUGGUUCAUUCCAUUUCUGUCUCCCAUGUGGAUCCCACCACUCUUGUUUAGCAUGGCAAAAGGAAAAUGAUUGUGAAAAGUUCAAAACGUAAAUUGCCAUGGAAACGUUAUGACAUCGAUAAAUUAUGUAUCCCCAGCAGAAGAUGAAGAAGACAGAUUAACAAGAUAAAACACUCCAUUCAUCUACCUUGCAUUAAUCAAUCUCUGUCAUCAUAAAUAGAAUGGCUUAAAAAGAAUUAUAGGUAUGUAGUCAUAAUUUGUCUAGGCUAGUAUUUUUUUAUGUCAGCAUGAACAAAAUGCUCCUUCUCUGGGGAUAUAUGAGAAUACUAGUCUCCAAAAGUCAGAAGCUGUUUGCCUAAGAAUCUAGGAUGUCAUCAGUCUUUCUUCCACUCAUCCCAUUGGAAGUUGGAGGAACAUGUUAUGUCUGGCUGAGUUGGACAUUUACAUAUCCAUUAAGAUAUCCAGUCAUUCCCAAGUAAUUCCUGGAGCAACCAUUAUUCUAAGUGUCUCAGAAAGAAUGGAUACUAGGAAAAUGCAGUUCUUGGAUUUGUAUGUUUAUAGUAAUGGGUACAGGAGAAGGAAUACAGGUCAAUGGAUAGUUUCUUGUAGUGCAAUAUAAAAUAUAUGCUCUGGAGACCUAGAAUAUAAGAUGUCCCCACAUGUUGGAAGAAAGUCUAAAAGCAAAAAAUCAUGGUAGAUGAAAUGAAAAUUGACAAACACAAGGCAUACAUGCUAUACAGUAUACAUAGAAGGCCUCACAAUGUGUAUAGUUUGGUGAUAUUUGAAACGAGUGUAGACAUUCAUUUCAAUGUCCAUAAAACCAAGGUAUAUUUUUCUAAUAUAUUACAACAUGCUGUGAUGCCUUCAGUUCCAUCUCUUUGCAUAACUUUAACUGAGAUUAAGAAAUCUCAUUUCUUUCUAGAAUAAAGGAAGAUGAAUUCAGGACUUACAGUGGCUUCUUCUAUAGAAUGGACAGUCAUUUGGGGGCUCUUUUUAAGCUGAUGCUUCCAUUUCCUUUAGGGUUUUUUUUUGGAUCUUAAUUAUAGCCUAGAUUCAGGUUUGCUGAGAAUCCACAACCUUCUGUAAUCAGCCCCUCGAUUGCCACUGUGUAUGCACUAAUGCACCUACGUAUGAUACAUAUGUGUUUCAUUUACUCAUUCAUUCAUUCAUUCAUUCAUUCAUUUUGUGUAAUAUGUGUUAUUUGUGUAGUACAUGCACAAGAGUGUGCGGGUACACGUUUCUGUGCACAUGCAUGUAGAGAGCAGUCAAGACAACAGGUAUCUUCAUUGAUUGUCUUUAUUGUCUUAUAUCUGGGGACACUUUAUUGUCCCCAGAGAGACGCUUACUGAACUGGAAUCUGUUGGCUUUGGCUAGUCCAGUCUUCAGCAAGCUUGUGUAGUCUGCUGCCUCUCUCCAUGUACAGCAAUGCCUGACUUUGUAUACAGGGUCUGGGGAUUCAAGCUCAGGUCCUUGCACUUUUAUAGCAAGUCCUCUUCUGACAGAGUCAUCUCACAACCUUUGAUUUAUUUCAUUUUAAUUUGUAAUAAGGGCCUUAUUCCAUAUUCUGAGAGUUUAGUUUCCUUCUUAUCUUCUUAAAUGUACUCUUUUAUUUUUAUGCAGCAAAACUUGCCAGUCUUGCAGGGUGCUGCUGGUAAUUUUUUUUUAAAUCUCAUCAUGAAUGAGAGCCCUGGGCAGUAAGUUGCUUAGGGCCAUUCUGACCUUGACUUUGACUCUUAAAUUCCAAAGAACAUUCCCAACAGAUGAUACCCUUAGGCAAAUGCAGGAAGAUGUGUGGUUUGUAGCUUGAUCUUGUCUUUAUACACUCUGAAUGAAUGAGCUGCUAGUUUAGAAUAACUCCUUUGAGAAACUUGGCAACCAUAGUCUACCCUGAGCUGUCUAUAGGGCAUCUUAAACAUCUUCUAGAUUCCAUGAUAAGUCAAGAAGUUAAUAGUGUAAGAGCUUUGUAUGUAAUAACUCAAUUUUUAAAACCCAGUCUUCCUGGGCUACAUUAGUUGUCUAUGUGUAUGCUAAUUAACAUAUGUGGAUACCAAAUACCUAGUAGUAUAUUCAUAAUAUUUUGUUCCACUUAAAUAAGAUAUCCCAAUAUAAUCUUCAGGAACAUGGUUUGAGAGCUGUAUUUUAUCAUUUUAUUGAGGAAGAACAUGGAAUUCAAAGUACAUAUAGGAUAUAUCUAACACCUCAUUGCUAGCAGUGUUAUACCACUACAGGAAUAACUUGCUAUUAUUCUACCUUGCUAGUCUGAUAGGCAUAAGUCCUAACAUUCACUGGACUGUGGUAUUGGCAUAAAGUUCUGAAGCAGUGUUUUUCUAUUAGAUGUCUGUGAUAAUCAGAACCUGUGUUUUACUCUGACUUUUGGAUGGGCUGGUACUGCAUCAAUAAAGUGAAGUGAUGAAGUCUCCAUUGGUAUGUCACUCAGUGCCAAGGCCAGGGCAUUGUCUUACUUCAGCAGUCAUAGCCCCCCUUCUCUGCAUUUAGAACAGUUCUCAAAUAGGAGAGGCACAGACCCUAACAUAAUUACCACUUGCUUCAAUCUGGGUCUGUUUCCAUCUCUUCUACACCUACUCACAAGCCUCUUGCUCUGUGUGAGAGCUGUGGUAGGAGCUUUGGCAGUACUAAUUGUUAUCUCUAGGCUCCAGGGACCAGGGAAACAGGACAAAAAAAAUUCUUCUUAUUCAAGGCUAUUGCAUCUUUAAUUUGCAGAAAAGCCAUUUUAAGACAAUUAGAAACUCAGAAAUGCAAGCAAACCUAGCUAUUCAUUUUUUUCUGCACUGAGAUUCCUGGAAUAGCAUGCAGCAUGGCUUAGAAGAUACAGGUUCAAAUUUAGUUCCUGCUAUGUAUUUCUCCAAGACUAAGUUUCAUCCUGUAUAAGAUGGAGAUAAUAACGGAUAAUAAUACUUAGUCCUGAUUCAUACUGUAAUUGCAAUGAUUAAAUGAGAAAACUGAUGUACCAUGUUACAUAUGAUUCCAAGGAACACUCCAUUGCAGAAUUUAAAAUAAAGCAAUUGCUUCCACAAAAGGGAGAUUUUCUGAAUAGUUUGUUACUAAUCCUACACUUCAGAAGCAAUAGCACUUCAGAAUCCAGCAGCAGGCCAAAGUGACUCACCAGCAAAGUAGAAUAAUGCCUAUGUGGUUUUAGUUGGAGAAGUCAGAACUCUGAAGAAAGGAUUAGUUCCUGCAGCACACAGUGACUCUGGUCAUGGUGACUUGAAGUAGCAAUAAUGCCAGGUAUGAGUAGUUAUUUCACAGCAUAGAGCUAUAGGAUUGAAGGUUUGUUAGUCAGGCCUUGCUUCUCCUUUUACAGAAAGUAAAGCUUCAAGAUCCAUGGAAGGAACUUUUCCUGUCUUCUAGGUGAUAUCAAUAUUGAAUACUAAAAAUGAGACUACAAAAAAGAUCUCUUAUGCAAAAACAGUGUUCUCAUUUGACAUACUUACUGGAUGGCAUAUAUAUUUGUCUAUCUGUCUGUCUGUCUGUCUAUCUGUUUGUAAAUGUGACAAUUAAGAACACACACACUUCCACACCACAGACAUAUCUCUAUUGCCAUUUUGGCAAAAGGAGUUAUUUCUUUGGCCUCUAUGUGCAUUUUAUUUUGCCUACCAAAGCAAAUUUAUUAAAUCCAAGUCUCUGAUGACUUUCUCAUCAGAUUUUGACAUUUAAUAAAUGUUCAGGUUUUACAUUUUACAAAGGAGCGAUUCCAACGUGCUCAAAAGAUACACAACUCACUAAUAAGAACUGUUUAAUAAUGAACACACACACGAAACAGUUCGGGGAUGACCUAAAUCAGAGAACCAAACACAACCCUAUCCUUACCCUCUAGAAUCAUGCUCAGUGGUAUGCCCUCUAUCCAAAUAUAGCCUCUAGGUUCAUGCUCAUCGAAGCACAGGAAUAGGGCUGCAAAUGCAAGGGCCAUACAAGCUGCUUCUUCCACUCAGAGUUCUGUUGAUGUCAGAAGUGCAGAGCCUAGACACUAGGUAUUUUGAAUCAGCUUCUGUUCUCUCUAUCAAGGCUGAAUUGCUUCAACUCCAGCUGCAGCAGGCAUCUCUAGCUCCCUGUUCCCUUUCCAGCCCACAGUCUUACUAACAGUUUAUAUCUGCUUUGUUUAUUAGUGAGGAAGGAGGGGGGUGCUUGCAAAGAGGUGCCCAAGGUAGGUCAAAAUGUCUUUCUAUCAGAGGCCAUCUUAAUGGGGCUCUACUGGGAAGUGGGGAGAGGUCAGAAAACUCUGUUAUCCCCCAUUCCUUUAGGUAAAAUAGGCUAAGUUGUUUCCCAAGGCUUAUCCUGUGCUUCACUGACUGGACAGUAUUCCUUGGGGAAGCAGAAAUUAACUCUACUGUCCUAUCCAACUUGAAUGCUAAGUAAAUGAAAUGGAGAGCUGAGCAGCCCCUUGGUUACAGAGCACCACAGCCAGGCAGGUGCCUAUUUUUAGAAGAGAAAGAGUGGGGAAAAAGUCAGGUUUAUUCUUUGGGGAUGGGCAGGUAGAAUAACAAUCUGCUAACGUUUAACAUUCAAGAUUUUUUAGAUAGUCUAAAAAUGUGAUUUUUUUUUUUGCCUACUUUGGUGCAAUGCUGUCAUCGUAAUUGCACAUUCCUGGACAACCAGCACAUGAACACCAGGAAAAGGAGACAUGCAAUCUUUGCCUUAGAAUUGAGGGUUAUGGGAUCAUGGUAUAAAAAUUGCCUAGGUGUUUGAACUAGGGGUAAAACAGGUGGCUUGAGAGCCAGAAAUAUUGAAACUUCAGGUCUCAGCUCAAAAAUCAUCUUUAGUGAAUUCUGCUUUAUCAUGUCUUUCAGCAUAACUUUUUACUGGCACAAUGUCCUUGUAUUGAUGAUGCUGAAAGGGUUUGUGCCUCUCCUAUGAGCCAAGAUUAUUUGGCCCCUGCCUUUAGGAGUUCCCUCCCCCUGCCCCUGAUAGAAUGAGACAAAGCUUAACCUAUGCAAAGAGGCUGUCUCUUUUCACUGCCUUUGAUGAUUGAUGGUGUUGGUGAUGGCCACCUGUCUGGCUUCAUUCCAUUGCACUUCUGGCUUUCCUAUUCCUGGGUCAUCUGUCACCCUCAGUUGAUACAUACCUGGGCUAGUGAGGCUCUUUUGGUGGCUGGGAACAUUGUUGCUCCCUGCUACUUGGUCUCUCCUGAAUUGUUUUGAGUAGUGAAUCUUCUGGGCUACUCCUUUCCUGCCUGAGCCUCUGAAGUAGUAGUUUCAAGUUUUUGUUUUUUUAAUUUUUGUUUCUCUUGUGUGUGUGUUUGUGUGUGUGUGUGUGUGUGUGUGUGUGUGUGUGUGUGUUGAAUCACUAUUGAUAAUAUUCAUUCCCAGGUAUUUUAUUUUAUAAAUAAACAAGCUUUUAUAACCCCCUUUCCCUUUACAUAGCAUUGUUGUUCUUCCAUGAACAUAUGAUAAUCUCUUAAUUGUUUACUAAUUCUUUCUAUUGUCAUUCUUAUUUGAACAUGAAAGUCAAGAAUAUGCGUUGCUUGCUCCAUUCACUGCUCUGUGGCCACGUUCUAGAGUGGUGCCCAUUGCAUGUCAGGUGCUCAGAAAAUAUGGUUCAAAUUGAUGAAUGAAUGUGUGAACUAAAAGAUCUAAUAUAAUGAUGGCAAUGAGCAUACCCCUAAAAUGGGAGCAGUAUCAGCAGUUAACGUUUGUUGAGUGUUGUAAUUCACCCUUUAAUAUUCAGCAAGUCUGUAUGCCAUAUGCUGUCUUUUAUCCCUUUAAUUUUGUAAUGAAGUGAAAUUGGACUUGGUGUUUAGUGAUUUGAUUCUGUUGUUGUGGGGUCACAACUUAGAAAUGAUGAUAGAGCCAGUGUUUGAUUCUAAUUCAGAAAGCAGUGAUUCUAGACCUACCAGCCCAAAGGAGUCAGUUGACAAUGCUUUGAAUUAAGUUCUGUUUUAAAUUCCCUUCUAUGUUUCCUACACAUCUCUGUGAAACGAUCUCAUUUCAAUGAUCACAGGAGAUGAAUGUUCUUUUACUAUUGUUUUAACUGCAUCGUACAUGUGCUUGUUAUUGUAAACUCAGCAUAGCAAAGAAAACCAUACCUCAUUGUUCUGUGCUAGAAAUAGUUUUCUAUAUUCCUUCAGUUCCAUGUUCAUACUGAGGCUAUAUCAGAUGAGGAAUGGCAACUCCUUUCUUUCCAGGUGUAGGAAGGAGGAUUACAGGCUAUUGUGAGGAAUUAUAAUACGGACCUAUUUUUAUUAGUGGUAAGACCUAAAUGAGCUUCUUGCUCACUGUUUGGGUUAUUUUCAUUCUUGACAGUUCAGUUUGUGUGUAAUUCUCCUCCCCCAAAGAGAGAGAGAGGGAGAGGGAGAGAGAGAGAGAGAGAGAGAGAGAGAGAGAGAGAGAUGCAAAUACAUCAGAACACAAAACCACACAAACUCCGAGUUGUCUACUGGACUCCUCAGAGACAGUACACAUUCUAUGUAGUUUAUAUGUAGCCUAAAGUUCUGUGUACCUUCAAGCAUUGAUUUCUUCCUGGGAGUUCCAAGUUCUAUUAGGAUGUUGGCUCUGGGAGAGUAUAUAGAGUAUCAUUUUUAUCCUGGUGCUAGCACCCAAUAUAAUUCAUUUUCAGAGCAACCAUAUCAUUGUUUUAUGUUUAUAAAAACCAAAGUGUCCAUUGUGGCUAGGCAGUGAUGGCAUACACCAUUAAGCCCAGCACUUGGGAGGCAGAAGCAGGUGGAUCUUUUGAGUUUGAGGCCAGCCUGGUCAACAAAGCAAGUUCCAGGACAGCAAGAACUAUACAAAGAAAACUUGUCUCAAAAUAAAUAAAUCAAUCAAAAUGUCCAUUGUUUGUUUAUGUUAUAAUUAACCAAAAAACUUGUAUUCCUUUUAAAGUAGCUGGCUUUAGUGGCAUGGGCUUUAAUUUUAGCAUUUAGAAGCCAGAAUCAGAGGCCCUUUGAUUAAGAUACUGGGCAUCUAUGACAGGCUCAGGAGCUCACUGCCUUUCUUCAAAGAACUGACUGACUCCAGCACCUUCUAUUCUUUUCAACUUCUCAUUUCUCCACGAAUCCCAGACUGUAAAAUAAUUCUAUUCUACAUAACCUAUGUGAACAUAUGUUCUUUCUCUGUGUUCAAACUCCUACCAAUUUCCCUGAGCCAUUAUUCUUUGUUUCUGUUUAGAUGGCGCAAAUGUAUACUUAUUCGUUUAUAAAUUCACCGAGAUCUCAAAGUUCUCUUCAAUAAUUUGAAGUGAUGCAUAUCUAAUGAGUAAAUCACCAACGGCAUAUAAGAUCUUAUUUUAGUGUCUCUCGUUUGACAAAAGUACAUAUUUUUAUUUACUAAAUAUUUCUCCAAAUAUACUUUAUCAGUUUGCUGAGUCUUACCACUAAACAUAUUCUGUCAGUUAUAAAUCAAAUAAGAAAAGAAGCCCAAGUGAUUCAUUGACAUGUCUCUUUCACAAACCACUUUGAGAGCUUUGACAAUGUUUACAUAUUAAAAUUACUUAAGCUGGCUUUAGUGGCAUGGGCUUUAAUUUUAGCAUUUACAAACCAGAAUCAGAGGCAUUUGAAGUUUUGGGACAGCUUGGGCUACUUAACAAGAUCUUGUCUAAAGAAAGGGGCUAGCAGUCUACUCAGUGGUAAAAUGAUAGCAUGUAAAAGGCACAGUUGAUACAUAUCAAGGCUAGUGAGGCCCAGAGCUUCUAGCACCACAAAAACAAAAGAAGCCACUUGAGAGGGCUUGAAUAAAUGACCAAUGCCCAGGCCCGACCAUAGAUCUCGAGAAUCAGAAUGUCAGUCCAAGUGCAACUAAGAGUGCAGACCACUAAUAGAUCAGAUUUUCAAUAUGCCCUAUGCUCAAAAUUAUACGAUAUAUGACCAUGAUUGAUUAUGAAUUCCUGAUCAAGAAAGAUAGAAUGCAAAUACUUCGGCUUUUUGUCUAGUAAAGGGCCUGACUUAUUGUAGGUCCUAAACAAAGAGUUAAGAGAUGUUAUAAAUAAUUUCACUUACAUUCAUUACUUUCUGUCCCUGCAAGAAAUACCAGUGUACUUUCAACUUAUGUCAUUCAGAACUCCUAACACCUGAGACCCAAAUGUUAAAUCACAUCUUCUUGGAAAUUAUGAAGAGCCUUUGGAAAUCUUCCAGUUUCUUCUGGGGCAACAGAUAAUUGCCAUCAUCAUCAACUCUGCAACUCAGAAUCCUGGGAGGCUGGAAAGAAGAUUUUAUCCUUCCUCAUAGAACACACACAACCAAGUACAAAACUCCCAUUUAAUGUGUUUUUGCUGGUUUUCCUUAAAAUGUUGCUUCACAAGUCUAAAAGUACCCAAUUUCUCUAGUUUCUCCCUAUGAAUUUGGAGGAACAUUGAAUGUAUUAACUCUUACUUCCCAAUUAACACUUAUAGAAUCCCUAUCUCUCAGGGUCCACUUCUAUGUCAUUGUCACAUACUGUAUACUAACUAGUCCUUUGUCUCCAGUAAAGUAGUACAGUAAAUUGCCCCCUUCUUCACUUGCCACUCUCAUGUACCCUACUCCUUGAAUUUAGUUGCCUUCUAUUCAAACUAAGUGUAUACCUUUGUUAAAGCUUCCAAGACUGCUGCCUCUUUCAGUUCUACUUUGACUACAGUAGUUGUGAUUUUCCUUCUGCUCUUUAAAUAACAUGUUAGCAUGGCAAAGCUGUCUCAGUUUCUAACAACCCCAUCAUCACUUAAAAGAUGCUACUUCACUUAUCUCAGACAAGAAACCUGAGCUUUAAUCUGCAUUCAUACAAACAAUCUUGUUUUCCUUCAUUUCCUUUAAAUACUUUUAUUUGUCAGACUUCUACAGUUUCAUUAUAAUGGGUCUGGGCAUGGAUUUGCUUUGAUUUAUCUUUCCAGGAGCUUAGUGUGUUUAUUAGAUCUCAAGAUUUGUAUCUUCCUUAAAUCUUUUAAAAAUAUUGUCAUUAUAUCUUUGAAGGGUUUAAUACAUCCAUUCAAUUUUUAAAAAUCUCUUUAAAAAAUAAAUCCUGUUAGACUUUACUUUGUAUGUACAUGUCUAUAAACCUUACUUUUAUAAUUCCCAUAUGUUUACCUGUCUGUACUGCAGUCUGUUUAUUUAUUCUCAAAAAGCUUCCAAUUUACUGACUCUUCAAAUCUGCAUGGAUUCAGGAAAUCGGGAACCUUUAAUAAUUCAAUUUCCAGGAAUCUUAACAUCUUCAAACUAACUGGAAAUUUGCUUGGAGGAUGGAAUUCAGUCAUACCACCAUUAUUCUGUGAUAGAAAGAUCCUUUGCUAUUUUUCCUGAUAUUAAAUGUCUCAUAUCUAUUGGAGGAAUGGAUGAACCAAUUCCUCUGCAUAAGAAACUUAUGUCAAGUAAAGAAAUGUGGCAAACCUGAUUUCUGACUGUAUGGAACACAGAGUUUGUAUGCUGCUUAUGUAAAAUAUUGACUUCCUGAUGGGCCAUGAGUCAAAGGAGGCUUCUUGGGGGACCAGGGCAUGAAGAUGUAAGGGAAAAACUGUGUUUCCUUUGGCUCAAGGAAGUCACAAGAGCCUGGUCUCCCCAUCCCAGUGCAUCCCAAAAGCAUGUCAGCUGUGCUUUUAGCGCAGUAAGAUCUCCACUCUUCUGUGUAGGAUUUCUGGUAACAGGAUAGCCCAAAGGUCCCUGCAUACAAGAAUGCUCUCUGUAUUUUAAUUAAAUCAAUGCAUUUAUAUCCAGUACUAAAUACUAAAAAUAGAGAGGGGGGAGAGAAGAAUCAUCACUUUAAAAAAUAGAAGCUGGUCUAGCAUACCUUUCUUUGCAUAUUUAUUGACUGUUUAUGGGAAGCAUGCUGUGUAACACCACAGUGCCCAAGAUAGACUUUGUAUGUGCUUGUAUCUUGGAGGAGGCUGUGGUAAGAUAUUUGGAGUUUCUUCUAAGCAGUCUAGGGAAAUGCACAAUUGGGGCAUAUGUUAGUCAAUAUACCUCAGUUUUAAAGGGAUAAUCUGGUGAGUGGAUACUCAUGUUGAGUAGAAAAGAAUGGAAAGAAAAAAAAUACAAGUGGAAAGUCAAACUGGAAACCUACUGGCGGAGUCCAGCAGAAGAAUUGUAGUAACUUGGACAGGUAAAAUUGCAUGUGUAUUCAGAGUAGUAGGAUUUAGGACCAAAAUUGAAAGCAGAACAAACAGAAGCUGCAGAUGGAGUAUCUGAAGUUCAGCAUAUGGAGAGAAGAAAACAAUCAGCUGCAUUCCUAGGUGUUCUGUUCUCUGAGGUGGGGAGAUGAACAGGAGGGACACAAGUGCAGAAACAAGGAUCAAGAAUUGUAGUUACUUUUCUAUUGAUGUGAUAAAACACUAUGACAAGGCAACAUGUAGGGAAUCAAAAAAGAGCUUAUUUGGUUUUACAGUCCCAGAAAUAUAAGAGUCCAUCAUGGCAAGGAGUCAUGGAAGCAAGUAGCAGAUAUGGUAACAGGAAGUACUGUGUGCUCACAUUUUAAACCACAAGCAGGAAACAAAGUAAACAGGGAGUGGCACAGUCUUGAAAACAUCGAAGCUUGCCCCCAAGUGACAUCGUUCCUCGAGCAAGUCUACACUUCCUAAAUCUACCCAAGCAAUGUCACCAACUAGAGACCAAAUAUUUAAUUAAAUAUGUGAGCCUAUAGGUGACUUUAUAUUUUAAACAACCAAGGGAUAAAGGCCACAUAUUGGAAAUAUUGUAUAUGGACUUGUUCUUAAGACAUUAGACACUCCUGUAUACAAACUUGAGUUAGUGCAGAUUUGAAAAUUAGUAUGUAGUGUGAUCUUCUGGUAGCAUUUAAAAUGUGGUUUAGAUUCCAAUGAAAGACCUGCCCAUAAGAGAGAUAUAUAGGGAAUAUUGUGUUAAAUCACAAUCUAUUAUCAGUGAAUUAAAAGAACCAGCUCUCAUCCCAGACCUGACAGAACAUGUGGUCAGUUAACAUUUAAAUUAGCAUUCUUAUUUCUUUUUCCCAUUUUCUUUCUCUAAAAUGUAGAUCAUUCUUUAUUCAUAGAGGCAAGGUAUAUAAAAAAAACAUGCUAACCCACAUGUGGAUUUGACACAUUCAUUCACAGAUUACAAUCAAGUCAGAAAGUCACUUAAGGAUCUUUCGUACCUUCCUGGUUCAUAAUUCCAAAUUAUAGGCAGUUUUCUGCAAGAAGCAUGUAGAAAUUACUUUGAGUUAACUUGGAAGAUUCUUUGGUGAUAUCCAAGUGUUGGUUGGCCAGAUCAUUUUUGUCUUAAUUUAUGUUUGUAAUUUAGAAAUUUGUUUCCCACUGCUUUGUGGCUUGAGAUUCAGGGUUUUUUUUUUUUCCUUCUGAGUAUAAGUCACUUUGGGGCAUUCAGCUUGUUUUUCAUGAAAACUCCCCAAGUUUUCCUAAUGUGCCACCCUUGACAGUUUCUUCCCCACAACUGAGAGAAUCUUAGUAAUGUCACUGUUUUUUUGUUUUGUUUUGUUUUGUUUUGUUUUGUUUUGUUUUGUUUGUACUAAAGAAAGAGAUAAGAAGAAGACCUUUCCCAGACUUGGAAGGAUGCUCUGUGGGACAUGAAUGUAGGGGCGAGCCUGGGGAGGGUGCUCUGAUGUAAUGAUCAGUGGCAUUGUAAUCUGCCUAAAAAUCGUGACAUUGAAAAAUGUAUUUAAACAUAGGAUUCUAUGUCCUCAUGUUUCUCCUACUCACAUAUAUCAACUCUAGUCUAUAGUUAGUAAAUGCUCAUUUUCUUGACAUUCUGAUAACACCCAGCCUAACCCCAUAAGCCUGUACCUUUACUUCACCUCUUCUACACCCUUCUAAUAUUCAAGAUGCAGAAACACUCAACUUAGUAUUGAAUACACGAAAUAAAGAUAAAAGAACCUGAAACAAUGUUUCACAUCUGCCAACCUGACAGGUGGAAUUGGAGCAGAGGAGAUGCUAGUCCCACCAGCAGAAAAAUACAAGCUAAAAUAAAGUUUCCUCAAGGAGAGGACUGGCUACAACAGUUUUAAUGUGACUAUCUCCUCUGAGCCCUUGUGAGAAGCCUGAGAGAAUAAGUGAGAAGAGGUGACUAUAAACACUCAGCAGCUUUUCUUCCUCACACUGCUAGUGGAAUACCAAACACAGGAUGCAGGCUCUCUCCUUUCCAUCUAUGAAAUUGCUCUGAUAUCUUAUAAAGAUGUUAAGAGAAAUGAUUUCCAUUCUUUUCUUCUUACAAAUCUCCCCUUCUUCAGAAGACCUGAAGUAGUUAACCAUCUCUUAGCACCUUUGGAUUCAUAUCUAAUAAGAGUAGCUAUGGAUGCUUCAGCACGGUAAGAAAAGGCCCAUUCAACAGGGUUUUAGAUGCAUUAAGUAGAAGUAAUAUAGUUCCUGUGCUUCUCCCUCAAAUAACUGAGACAUAAAGUGGGUGGGGUGCUGGACCUGCCACAGUUCUUUAGUGUCUGAGAAGUAAACCAUUUACACCUACAGAGCAAUGUUCCUGGGUUGCUCCCUAGUAGAUGUUUACCAGUGUUCUCUUAGUUUUGACCUUGUGCUAGUUGCUGAUGACAAAAAAGUGAGUCAUAUAGGUGGUACUUGCCCUCAAACAAUGUACAGUGUUUAGGCAGUUACCUAGUAGGUGUGUGCAGCACAGAUUCUCCCAUGCUUUCCUUUGCUUAUUUCAUCUCUACUAGAGGAUGUCACUGUGUGAACUUAUCACUAUUGGAAGGAGGGUAUUUAAACAAAAGGACAAAUAUGCCUCUUGUUGAAUUUGAGAAACUUGCUGGUAUCCUGGUGAUUGAUUUCAGAGGCAGUGGGUGCUAUAUCUGAAUUUUGUUCACAUAGUGUAAUUUGUCCACAGUGCCCCUGAAAUCCUGACUGGGGUACCCUAAUCUGUCAUGCAUUUGGAUAAGUCCUCAUCUAAGGAAAAAAAGACAUGGACUUUGGGUUCAUUUGUCACAGAGAGAAAAUCCCUAUAAUUCUGUAUCUAGACUAGUGCCCUAAUGCUGAAAUGCAUUUACCUGACAAAUUGUCAUGGCUGAUCUUAUGACAUGGUGUGAGACCUACUUAUCACUAGUAGUUGGUAUAUCUGGACAGGGAACUCUUUGUGCCCAAACCUGCCUAAUGAACAGAUGUGUUCAGUAUCAAAUGGCCUCUCAAAGUCUCCCAACCCCAAGAUAUUAUAAAUGAUGCUAAAACAGAAGACAAAGAUGUAACAGUUGUACACCAUCUGUUGUAACUGCCUGUUGCUCUGCUGUUUCACUACUGACUUUCCUCUGAAGAUUUCCAAUAACUGUGCCCAAUAUUGUGUGACUAUAGGGCUUAUUCUCAAGUUGUUCACUGUAGUUAUUGAUCACUUGAGUAUGGCAUGUCUUAGCCUUGAGAUCUAUGUACAUUAGUCAACUGAGCCAGACUGAAACCUCCUUGUGGAACUCUGCAUUGGCUCAUGGAUCUAAACACUCACUCUCAACCGCAUUAUCAGCUUAGUUUUAAACAGUUCCAUAGAUGCUGCUAUAGUACGGGUGUCCUAGCAGGGAAAGCUACAUGGAGCAUCAUCCAGAAAGUGAUAUCAGAGGAAGAUCUGAGAAGGCAUGCCAGGCAGACUAAAUAAAAUGUAAAAGUACCAGCUGUAGAAGAGCAAAGGCUUAGCAAAUUUGAACAUCCUAGUUACAUUCCAGCAGCUGAAGAGUAGCCAGGUCAAUCUACUUAUGUGUCUAAGUCCAAAGUCUCUGGUUUUGCCCAAAUUCAACCUGAUGAAUGUGAAGCUACAGAAUUUGGAUAUAUCUCAUUUAAAAGUGGGAUGCCAUUUAAAGUUUAAGGAGAAAACUUCUUUGGUGAAAGCAGUAGUUUAGGAAGAGGAAUUUAGACACCAUAUGCAGGCUGGCUAACAAAGUGAAAGGCUGGAAAUAGAGAAUACUUGGUACAUGCUGCACAAGCAUAAAUAUAAGUGAUUUAGAAGUCAUUGAUGUAUGUUAAGACAUUGAUAUUUAAUUCUCCUACUAUAAUAUUUAUCACUGGUAUAUCUUUUACUGACAUAAUAAUUAUAUAUUUAUGUGUUCUAAGAUGGUGUUUUGAUAUAUGUAUCACUGUGUAAUGAUUAAUAGUAAGCUGAUUAAUACAGCUCUCAUUUCAUAUUCUCAUUAUUUUUGUGGUAAAAAAUUUGAAAUUUAUUCUCAUAGUUAUUUUAAAUAUAAAAUAUCUUAUUUACCAUAACUACAACAUUGUAGAGAAGAACACCAUCCUCUGUUCCAUCUGUACCUUUAUAACUGAUAUCGUCAUCUCUCUUAGUUUACCUCUGGGAACACUGUUCUUUUUCCCUACUUCUAUGUUUGAUGAUUUUUGAUUCUAUAUAUAAGUGAAAUCAUGUAGUAUUUAUCUUCCUGUAGCUCACUUAGUUUGCAUAGCAGAAUAUACUCCAAGUUCAUCCACGUGGUCUUCACGAAUAAGAUUUCCUUGUUUUUAACGGCUGAAUCAUAUUCUAGAAUUUCUAUGCACCAUGGCUUAUUUAUUUAUUUAUUUAUUUAUUUAUUUAUUUAUUAAUAAAAAUGUAGUUUGAUAAUAUAGGGUUGAUCCAGUGUUGCAAAUCACACUACAGUAAACAUAGGAGUAUGGAUAUCUCAAUGUAGUGAUUUCAUUUCCUUUGGAUAUAUACGUAUAAUGGGAUUAUUAGCUUGUAUGAUAGUUCUUAUUUUAUUUUGUGAUGGAUCUCCACACUGUAUUCUAUAAUUGCUGUAUGAGUUAACAUUUCUACAAAUUAUGGACAAUAAAGAUUUCCCUUUUCUCCACAUCUGUGCCAGCACCACCUUCUUUUAUUUUUAUAAUAGCCAUGACAAGUAUGCAAUGAUACCUCAAGGUACCUUUGAAUUCCUUGUCUUUAAUGAUAACUAGAUUGUCUUAAUUUGCUUUGUACUAUGGUAAAAAGACUGACAACCUAGGGGAGGAGACAGUUUAUACUUUACCUACCAGUUCUAUUAAAUUAUCAUGGAAAGCCAAGUGAUGGACUGAUGUAAAGACCAUGGAGUGAUGAUGCUUACAAGCUUGCUCUUCCUGACUUGAUUGGCUACUUUAAAAAUUUAUCCCAGGCCCACCUGCCUAAAGAAUGGCACCAUCCACGUGGGUUAGGCUCUCCUACUUAAGAAAAUAUCCUACAUACAUGCCUUACAGGUUUGUCUUAUGGUCAGUUGAACUACCCACUUCUUAGGUGAUCCUAAUCUAUGUCAAGUUGACAAAAUCUAAGCAGUUCACUGACAUUUGCCAACUUUUUGGUAUACCUGUUGACCAUUAGUUUUGAAAAAAA